GUUUAUUAUACGACCGCAAAAAUUUUAAUUUUUUGGUCGUAUAUUGCUAUCACGUUGGCGUCGUCGUCGUCGUCGUCCGAAUACUUUUAGUUUUCGCACUCUAACUUUAGUAAAAGUGAAUAGAAAUCAAUGAAAUUUUAACACAAGGUUUAUGACCACAAAAGGAAGGUUGGGAUUGAUUUUGGGAGUUUUGGUCCCAACAUUUUAGGAAUUAAG
rnacentral:lncRNA from 1 species